GGAAACCGGUGGGAGAGGACGACGGCCGGAGGGGGGAGGAGGCGGCCCUAGCGCCAUUUUGUGGGAGCGAAGUGGUUGCUGGGCUGCUCUUGGAUUCCUCGCUGCUUCAGUGUCCCUGUCGGGCUUCCUAGCAGCGGCCUAGCGGCAAGACAAGCAAAGAUGUCCGAAUAUAUUCGGGUAACCGAAGAUGAGAACGACGAGCCCAUUGAAAUACCAUCAGAAGACGAUGGGACAGUGCUGCUGUCCACAGUUACAGCCCAGUUUCCAGGGGCAUGUGGGCUUCGCUACAGGAAUCCAGUGUCUCAAUGUAUGAGAGGGGUCCGUCUGGUAGAAGGCAUUCUGCACGCCCCUGAUGCUGGCUGGGGGAACCUGGUGUAUGUUGUCAACUAUCCCAAAGAUAACAAAAGGAAAAUGGAUGAAACAGAUGCUUCAUCAGCAGUGAAAGUGAAAAGAGCAGUCCAGAAAACAUCUGAUUUAAUAGUGUUGGGUCUCCCAUGGAAAACAACUGAACAGGAUCUAAAAGAAUAUUUUAGUACCUUUGGAGAAGUUCUUAUGGUUCAGGUCAAGAAAGAUAUUAAAACUGGUCAUUCAAAAGGGUUUGGCUUUGUUCGUUUUACGGAAUAUGAAACCCAGGUGAAAGUAAUGUCACAGCGACAUAUGAUAGAUGGACGAUGGUGUGACUGUAAACUUCCAAAUUCUAAGCAAAGCCCAGAUGAGCCUUUGAGAAGCAGAAAGGUGUUUGUUGGGCGUUGUACGGAAGACAUGACUGCUGAUGAGUUGCGGCAGUUUUUUUGCCAGUACGGAGAAGUGGUAGAUGUCUUCAUUCCCAAACCGUUCAGGGCUUUUGCCUUUGUUACGUUUGCAGAUGAUCAGGUUGCCCAAUCUCUUUGUGGAGAGGACUUGAUCAUUAAAGGAAUCAGCGUACAUAUAUCCAAUGCUGAACCUAAACACAAUAGCAAUAGACAGUUAGAAAGAAGUGGAAGAUUUGGUGGUAAUCCAGGUGGCUUUGGGAAUCAGGGUGGAUUUGGUAACAGUAGAGGGGGUGGAGCUGGUUUGGGAAACAAUCAAGGUAGUAAUAUGGGCGGAGGGAUGAACUUUGGUGCUUUUAGCAUUAAUCCAGCAAUGAUGGCUGCAGCCCAGGCAGCUCUGCAGAGCAGCUGGGGUAUGAUGGGCAUGUUAGCCAGUCAGCAGAACCAGUCAGGCCCAUCGGGUAAUAACCAAAGCCAAGGCAACAUGCAGAGGGAGCCAAAUCAGGCUUUUGGUUCUGGAAAUAACUCUUAUACUGGUUCUAAUUCAGGUGCAGCAAUUGGUUGGGGAUCAGCAUCAAAUGCAGGGUCAGGCAGUGGUUUUAAUGGAGGCUUCGGCUCAAGUAUGGAUUCUAAAUCUUCUGGCUGGGGAAUGUAGACAUUGGGUUAUCGUUAGUUGGUAUAAACUGGUGGGAAUUCAGAUUUUUCUAAACUCAUGGUAAGUAUAUUGUAAAAUACGUAUGUACUAAGAAUUUUCAAAAUUGGUUCAGUGUGGAGUAUAUUCAGCAGUAUUUUUGACAUUUUUCUUUAGAAAAAGAGGAAGAGCUAAAGGAAUUUUAUAAGUUUUGUUACAUAAAGGGUUGAAAUAUUGAGUGUUUGAAAGUGAACUGCUGUUUGCCUGAUUGGUAAACCAACACACUACAAUUGAUAUCAAAAGGUUUCUCCUGUAAUAUUUUAUCCCUGGACUUGUCAAGUGAAUUCUUUGCAUGUUCAAAAUGGAAACCAUUGGUUAGAACUACAUUCUUUUCUCCUUGUUUUAAUUUGAACCCCACCAUAUGGAUUUUUUCCUUAGGAAAAUCUUUUUGGAGAUCAUGGUGUCACAGUGUUUGGUUCUUUUGUUUUUUGUUUUUGUUUUUUAACACUUGUCUCCCUUCAUAUACAAAAGUACAAUAUGAAGCCUUCAUUUAAUCUCUGCAGUUCAUCUCAUUUCAAAUGUUUAUGGAAGAAGCACUUCAUUGAAAGUAGUGCUGUAAAUAUUCUGCCAUAGGAAUACUUCUGUCUACAUGCUUUCUCAUUCAAGAAUUCGUCAUCACGCUGCACAGGCUGUGUCUUUGACGCCCUGAAUGCAAAGAAUUCAUAGCAGUUAAUUCCCCUUUUUUGACCCUUUUGAGAUGGAACUUUCAUAAAGUUUCUUGGCAGUAGUUUAUUUUGCUUCAAAUAAACUUAUUUGAAAAGUUGUCUCAAGUCAAAUGGAUUCAUCACCUGUCAUGCAUUGACACCUGAUACCCAGACUUAAUUGCUAUUUGUUCUUGCAUUGUCCAAAGUGAAAAGUUUUUUUUUUUUCUUUUUAAAUCUAGUUUUUAAUAAGUCUGGGUGACCGCACCUAAAAUGGUAAGCAGUACCCUCCAGCUUUUUCUUAGUGCCUCUGUGCAUUUGGGUGAUGUUCUAUUUACAUGACCUGUUAUAAAUCUCCAUUGGGAAAUCAUGCCUUCUAAAAAUAUUCUUAUUUGGAGGAGUGGACAGAACAAUGUUAAUUAUUUUAAAAUGCUUUGUAGCAAAGCCUAUCAAUUGAAGGGAGUAUCAGCACCUUUCUAGUUGGGGAUUUGAAAAGUGGAAUUAAUUGCAAUAGGGAUAAAGUAGAAGAAACCACAAAUUAUCUUGUGCCUGAAAUCCAUUAAGAAGCCUGAUAGCUUUAAGAACUAGCAGGGUGGGUUGUCUGUGGAAGUGUUAAGUGAAAUGGGCUUUGUCUUCCAAAUGUGGGGAAAUAGAGUAAUGUUGAAUAAAAUUGCUUAUAAAACUCAGAUUAGACUCUCACGGUGCAUUGUUAAGUAUGUAAAAGCAAUAAUAUAUUCUCUAUUGUACUUAAAAUGUAACUACUAUGAGAGUUGAGCUCCUUUUCUAAUGGAAGAAUGUAAGUUUUUGUGCUGAUAAUUUACCUAAUGCCCUUAUCUAAUUAGAUUAUGAUAAAUAGGUUUGUCAUUUUGCAAGUUACAUGUUUUAAACUUUUAUAAAUGAAGUCGUCCUUUAGACUUAUGGUCGCCACAUUGUUUUAUUCAGUUUCCUCUGUAAAAGGAUCUUGCGUUGUUUUAAUUUUUUUUUUUUUCUGCAUCUAAAUUGCAUGAUUUCCAAACCCUGUACCAUCUGAAUUUUGCAUUUUAGCACUUGCACUAUUACUCAGCAGCAGUAACAUGGUAACACUUAAAAUGGUAUUCGGGGACCUCCAAAGACUAAACUGACAAGCCUUCAAGGAGCCCAGGGGUAAGUUAUCUUUGUCAAUGGCAUGGUUUUGAUCCCUUAUUUACACCUGUGUAAAUCUAGUUACCAGUCUUAGAAGGCUUUCAAUGUUGACUAGCCUUCUGUUAACAUGUUUAUGGUACUACAUAGCUAUGGGUAUUUAAUUCUACCCUAAAAAAAAAAAAAAAAAUGAAGUUUAGAAGUAAACUAUUUGGCAAAGAUUUGUUUUUAAAGUCUAUUUGGUCAUCUAAAUGCAUUCAUUCUAAAAAAUUUUUUGAACCAGUUGAAUAAACAUUUUUGUUGCCACCACAGUUUAGUGUCUGGAGUCUUACUGGAAAAACAGUUUCUUUUUUUUUUUUUAAAUGUGACAAAGAUGCUGGAAAGUUACCUUUAAAAAGUGAGUCUCAAGAAGUUGCACUUCAUAUGCACAAGAGAAGUUAGUCAAAACUCACAAUGAAUUUCUACAUACAAUGGUAACUGUUUGGCUAGAAUGAAAAACUUUGUUAAAUGUUAAGUAUUAAAACUUUUUAGGGAGGAAUGGCCAGCUAAAUGAGAUUUUUAAGGUUAAGUCAGCGCUUAAAUGCUGUCCUUAGGAGAAAGAUGUUGAGUACUUAGUAAUUCAGAAGAUGUAUGUGAUAAUUAGAAUAAUUUUUUGUUGUUGAAUACUAGGAGAGUAACUCUUAACUGUGUAUUUAAGUUCUGUACUUAGCUGUUGUACGAUCUGUAAUCUAUUUUUAAGUGUGCCCAAGUAUUCCACGUUCGUGGUAAGAAGGAAAAAAACACUACAGGUUGAUUUAUCAAUAAUACCACCACUUAUUUUUAAUGUUGUAUUUCAUCUUAUGGAAAUGCCAUAUUUGAUGCAACUGUCUUCUGAAUUUGAAAAUAAAAUAUUUAGGUUAUUUCCAAGUGCUAGGAACAUCCUCACAGCUAAAUUAAAAUCUUAGCAUUGGAAUUACCAGGUCAGAGACUAUGCAUGCUUUUAAGACUUGUGAAAUAUAUUGCCAAAUGGUCCUUCAGAAAAUUCGUUGUCUUCGACAGUGUAAAAUAGUGCUGUUCCAUGUUCUUUUUGUCUGCCAGUUUGAGAAGUGAAAAAUUAUAGCAUUGGUUUUAACAUGGAAAUCAGUCUAUACCUAGGCCAAAGUAUUGAUAUUUCCAAUUUAUCUACCCAAGAAAAACAUGAUUCAAAGUAAUUCCUGAAACAAUACUGCUAUAAUAUGUAACACUCUCAGAGAACAAUAAGAACAAGUACAAAAAACUGGAGAAAAACAGUUAAAGAACAUGAACAGGCAAUUUCCAGAAAUGCAAAUAGCCAGUACAAACAGACACUGGACUUUUGUAAGUAAAUCCAAAUUUAACCAGUGAGUUUCUAUUGGAUUGGCAACGAUGAAUAUCACUACAAUGGUUUAUGUCCCCUUCAAUCAAAGAGUAAGUGGUGGGAAAGUGGCAAGUGGAGAAGUGCCUGAAAGGCACAGCUCACCUGUAGUUUGGUUUGGUUUGGUUU